GAUGGUCUACUAUACUCAUAGAUCCAUGCCUUGUCCAGUCAUCAGCAGAAAGGUUUCCUCUGGCAGCUUAUUAGAGCAGAUGCAGAGCUCCACAGCCAAAUAAUAGAGAGAGAGCUCAGGUUGGAGUUCUUCAUUGGGUCCCUUAAUUCUGAGCUCAGAGAAACCUGCAGAAGAUGGGGAGGAGAAAUUGUGGGAGCCAGAGGGGUCAAUGACAUGGGGAGAGCACGGCCUAUGGAAUCAACUAAGUAAGAAAAAGAACCUGAGGAGUAGCAUCUUGGUGACCAUAUAACCUGAAACUAGAAGUAGCAUUGGCAGGAAAAGAAGACUCUGGGAAACAGUUGCUAAGUUUGCACACAAGUUUUGCAAAGAAUUAUCAUCAAUUUCAAGGCUGUGGAACGCCAUCACAACUGUUCUACACAGUCCACUUUCAGGAACAUCUGAACUUCAGAGAGUGAUCAAAGCUUCCAAAGUAAACAAGGCAUAUACCCUGAAGAAGUUCCAACUGGUAAUAAGAA